rfam:Solobacterium moorei F0204 genomic scaffold Scfld91, whole genome shotgun sequence.
UAACUUCGUUAUCAAAUACCACAGACAGUAACGGCGUAUGCUUAAUAAGGUUACCGAGGUAGAUGAAAGUUCAUAUCAAUGUACUUUUGCUCUCGCUGUCUGCGAGGGCUUUCUUUCUAAAUGU